rnacentral:rRNA from 1 species
ACUAGGGAUCGGGCGAUGUUAUCUUUUUGACUCGCUCGGACCUUACGAGAAAUCCAAGUCUUUGGGUUCUGGGGGGAGUAUGGUCGCAAGGCUGAAACUUAAAGAAAUUGACGGAAGGGCACCACCAGGAGUGGAGCCUGCGGCUUAAUUUGACUCAACACGGGGAAACUCACCAGGUCCAGACACAAUAAGGAUUGACAGAUUGAGAGCUCUUUCUUGAUUUGUGG